CCUACGGGAGGCAGCAGUGGGGAAUUUUGGACAAUGGACGCAAGUCUGAUCCAGCAAUGCCGCGUGCAGGACGAAGGCCUUCGGGUUGUAAACUGCUUUUGUACGGAACGAAACGGUCUGCUUUAAUACAGUGGACUAAUGACGGUACCGUAAGAAUAAGCACCGGCUAACUACGUGCCAGCAGCCGCGGUAAUACGUAGGGUGCGAGCGUUAAUCGGAAUUACUGGGCGUAAAGCGUGCGCAGGCGGUUAUAUAAGUCAGAUGUGAAAUCCCCGGGCUCAACCUGGGGCCUGCAUUUGAGACUGUAUAGCUAGAGUACGGUAGAGGGGGAUGGAAUUCCGCGUGUAGCAGUGAAAUGCGUAGAUAUGCGGAGGAACACCGAUGGCGAAGGCAAUCCCCUGGACCUGUACUGACGCUCAUGCACGAAAGCGUGGGGAGCAAACAGGAUUAGAUACCCUGGUAGUCCACGCCCUAAACGAUGUCAACUGGUUGUUGGGUCUUCACUGACUCAGUAACGAAGCUAACGCGUGAAGUUGACCGCCUGGGGAGUACGGCCGCAAGGUUGAAACGUCAAAGGAAUUGACGGCUGAGAGNGCGAGACGACGACGAGGGAGGAGG
rnacentral:rRNA from 1 species